rnacentral:rRNA from 1 species
AUAGCGGAGGAAAAGAAACCAACAGGGAUUGCCUCAGUAACGGCGAGUGAAGCGGCAAGAGCUCAAAUUUGAAAGCUGGCUCCUUCGGGGUCCGCAUUGUAAUUUGCAGAGGAUGCUUCGGGAGUGGCCCCCAUCUAAGUGCCCUGGAACGGGCCGUCAUAGAGGGUGAGAAUCCCGUCUGGGAUGGGGUGUCCACGCCCGUGUGAAGCUCCUUCGACGAGUCGAGUUGUUUGGGAAUGCAGCUCUAAAUGGGUGGUAAAUUUCAUCUAAAGCUAAAUACUGGCCGGAGACCGAUAGCGCACAAGUAGAGUGAUCGAAAGAUGAAAAGCACUUUGAAAAGAGAGUUAAACAGCACGUGAAAUUGUUGAAAGGGAAGCGCUUGCGACCAGACUCGCCCACGGGGUUCAGCCGGCAUUCGUGCCGGUGUACUUCCCCGCGGGCGGGCCAGCGUCGGUUUGGGCGGCCGGUCAAAGGCCCUCGGAAUGUAACGCCCCCCGGGGCGUCUUAUAGCCGAGGGUGCCAUGCGGCCAGCCCGGACCGAGGAACGCGCUUCGGCUCGGACGCUGGCAUAAUGGUCGUAAGCGACCCGUCUUGAAACACGGACCAAGGAGUCUAACAUCUACGCGAGUGUUCGGGU